rnacentral:ncRNA from 1 species
UUGAGCCGUAUGAGGGGAAACUCUCACGUACGGUUCUUAGGGGAGAAAGGGGCAGCAAUGUCCCCGCCUUACCCGAU